UACAGAGGUCCCAAGCGUUGUUCGGAUUCAUUGGGCGUAAAGGGUGUGUAGGUGGCGCCGUAAGUCGGGUGUGGAAUCUCGGGGCUUAACUCCGAAACUGCAUUCGAUACUGCGGUGCUUGAGGACUGGAGAGGAGACUGGAAUUCAUGGUGUAGCAGUGAAAUGCGUAGAGAUCAUGAGGAAGACCAGUGGCGAAGGCGGGUCUCUGGACAGUUCCUGACACUGAGGCGCGAAAGCGUGGGGAUCAAACAGG
rnacentral:rRNA from 1 species